rnacentral:rRNA from 1 species
GAUGCAGCGACGCCGCGUGAGGGAUGACGGCUCGGGUUGUAACCUCUUCAGCAGGGAAGAAGCGAAAGUGACGGUACCUGCAGAAGAAGCGCCGGCUAACUACGUGCCAGCAGCCGCGGUAAUACGUAGGGCGCAAGCGUUGUCCGGAAUUAUUGGGCGUAAAGAGCUCGUAGGCGGCUUGUCACGUCGGGUGUGAAAGCCCGGGGCUUAACCCCGGGUCUGCAUUCGAUACGGGCUAGCUAGAGUGUGGUAGGGGAGAUCGGAAUUCCUGGUGUAGCGGUGAAAUGCGCAGAUAUCAGGAGGAACACCGGUGGCGAAGGCGGAUCUCUGGGCCAUUACUGACGCUGAGGAGCGAAAGCGUGGGGAGCGAACAGGAUUAGAUACCCUGGUAGUCCACGCCGUAAACGGUGGGAACUAGGUGUUGGCGACAUUCCACGUCGUCGGUGCCGCAGCUAACGCAUUAAGUUCCCCGCCUGGGGAGUACGGCCGCAAGGCUA